ACAAUUUCUCUUCUUCUACUUCUCCGCAUUUGUCUCCAUUUACAUCUCCAACUCCGGCCUCCUUCUCCCUCUCCUGCUCCAACCCUUAAUCCAUUGUUCACCCCAAUCCUCUCCCCUCCCAAUUCAUCAAGCAGCAGACCAGUGACCGGCGACCAGCAACCAGAGAGACCUGCGAGCAGUGAGCUACGACUUCAACCAUUGACAAGCUGCGAAUCUGAGUGCGGCGAAGGGCUCUCAUUUAGGUCUUUCUGAUACCUUUGCUGGUUUUCAUGGCAUAAAGUUCGGUGAGAUCAUCUCCAAUGAGUCAGGACCAAUAGGGGGAAGGGAAAAAACCCCUGAGAGAACUCUAAGUUGGAGGGGAGGGAGCCCUGAAAUGGAAGUUUUAGUAGGAC